AGUAAUGCCUAGGAAUCUGCCUGGUAGUGGGGGACGAACGUUUCGAAAGGAACGCUAAUACCGCAUACGUCCUACGGGAGAAAGCAGGGGACCUUCGGGCCUUGCGCUAUCAGAUGAGCCUAGGUCGGAUUAGCUAGUUGGUGAGGUAAUGGCUCACCAAGGCGACGAUCCGUAACUGGUCUGAGAGGAUGAUCAGUCACACUGGAACUGAGACACGGUCCAGACUCCUACGGGAGGCAGCAGCC
rnacentral:rRNA from 1 species